GGGAUAUUGCACAAUGGGGGGAACCCUGCUGCAGCGACGCCGCGUGAGUGAAGGAGUACUCCGGUAUGUAAAGCUCUAUCAGCAGGGAAGAAGCAAGACGGUACCUGACCAAGAAGCCCCGGCUAACUACGUGCCAGCAGCCGCGGUAAUACGUAGGGGGCGAGCGUUCUCCGGAUUCCCUGGGUGUAAAGGGAGCGUAGACGGCCGAUCAAGUCUGGAGUGAACGCCCGGGGCCCAACCCCGGGACUGCUCUGGAAACUGGUGGGCUAGAGUGCUGGAGAGGUAAGUGGAAUUCCUAGUGUAGCGGUGAAAUGCGUAGAUAUUAGGAGGAACACCAGUGGCGAAGGCGGCUUACUGGACAGUGACUGACGUUGAGGGUCGAAAGCGUGGGGAGCAAAC
rnacentral:rRNA from 1 species